UAGGGAAUCUUCGGCAAUGGACGAAAGUCUGACCGAGCAACGCCGCGUGAGUGAAGAAGGUUUUCGGAUCGUAAAACUCUGUUGUUAGAGAAGAACAAGGACGUUAGUAACUGAACGUCCCCUGACGGUAUCUAACCAGAAAGCCACGGCUAACUACGUGCCAGCAGCCGCGGUAAUACGUAGGUGGCAAGCGUUGUCCGGAUUUAUUGGGCGUAAAGCGAGCGCAGGCGGUUUCUUAAGUCUGAUGUGAAAGCCCCCGGCUCAACCGGGGAGGGUCAUUGGAAACUGGGAGAAUUGAGUGCAGAAGAGGAGAGUGGAAUUCCAUGUGUAGCGGUGAAAUGCGUAAAUAUAUGGAGGAACACCAGUGGCGAAGGCGGCUCUCUGGUCUGUAACUGACGCUGAGGCUCGAAAGCGUGGGGAGCAAACAGG
rnacentral:rRNA from 1 species